rnacentral:rRNA from 1 species
UCUAUGCACAAGCCGAUUAAUGGUGAAGCCGCGAAUGGCUCAUUACAACAGCCACUGUUUACUUGAUCUUGAUUAUCCUACUUGGAUAACUGUGGUAAUUCUAGAGCUAAUACACGCAAUAAAGCUCCGACCUUACGGGACGAGCGCAUUUAUUAGACCAAAACCAAUCGGGCUUCGGCCUGAGCAGUUGGUGACUCUGAAUAACUGAGCUGAUCGCAUGGUCUUUGUACCGGCGACGCAUCUUUCAAGUGUCUGCCUUAUCAACUUUCGAUGGUAGUUUAUGUGCCUACCAUGGUUGUUACGGGUAACGGAGAAUAAGGGUUCGACUCCGGAGAGGGAGCCUGAGAAACGGCUACCACAUCCAAGGAAGGCAGCAGGCGCGCAAAUUACCCACUCUCGGCACGAGGAGGUAGUGACGAAAAAUAACGAGGCGGUUCUCUAUGAGGCCCGCUAUCGGAAUGGGUACAAUUUAAACCCUUUAACGAGGACCUAUGAGAGGGCAAGUCUGGUGCCAG